AGUGGAUGCUGGCGGUAGGCCUAACACAUGCAAGUCGAACGGCAGCACAGUAAGAGCUUGCUCUUACGGGUGGCGAGUGGCGGACGGGUGAGGAAUACAUCGGAAUCUACUUUUUCGUGGGGGAUAACGUAGGGAAACUUACGCUAAUACCGCAUACGACCUACGGGUGAAAGCAGGGGAUCUUCGGACCUUGCGCGAUUGAAUGAGCCGAUGUCGGAUUAGCUAGUUGGCGGGGUAAAGGCCCACCAAGGCGACGAUCCGUAGCUGGUCUGAGAGGAUGAUCAGCCACACUGGAACUGAGACACGGUCCAGACUCCUACGGGAGGCAGCAGUGGGGAAUAUUGGACAAUGGGCGCAAGCCUGAUCCAGCCAUACCGCGUGGGUGAAGAAGGCCUUCGGGUUGUAAAGCCCUUUUGUUGGGAAAGAAAAGCAGCAGGUUAAUACCCCGCUGUUCUGACGGUACCCAAAGAAUAAGCACCGGCUAACUUCGUG
rnacentral:rRNA from 1 species